ACACAUGCAAGUCGAGGGGCAGCAUAAUGGAUAGCAAUAUCUAUGGUGGCGACCGGCGCACGGGUGCGUAACGCGUAUGCAACCUACCUUUAACAGGGGGAUAACACUGAGAAAUUGGUACUAAUACCCCAUAAUAUCAUAGAAGGCAUCUUUUAUGGUUGAAAAUUCCGAUGGUUAGAGAUGGGCAUGCGUUGUAUUAGCUAGUUGGUGGGGUAACGGCUCACCAAGGCGACGAUACAUAGGGGGACUGAGAGGUUAACCCCCCACACUGGUACUGAGACACGGACCAGACUCCUACGGGAGGCAGCAGUGAGGAAUAUUGGUCAAUGGACGCAAGUCUGAACCAGCCAUGCCGCGUGCAGGAUGACGGCUCUAUGAGUUGUAAACUGCUUUUGUACGAGGGUAAACGCAGAUACGUGUAUCUGUCUGAAAGUAUCGUACGAAUAAGGAUCGGCUAACUCCGUGCCAGCAGCCGCGGUAAUACGGAGGAUUCAAGCGUUAUCCGGAUUUAUUGGGUUUAAAGGGUGCGUAGGCGGUUUGAUAAGUUAGAGGUGAAAUUUCGGGGCUCAACCCUGAACGUGCCUCUAAUACUGUUGAGCUAGAGAGUAGUUGCGGUAGGCGGAAUGUAUGGUGUAGCGGUGAAAUGCUUAGAGAUCAUACAGAACACCGAUUGCGAAGGCAGCUUACCAAACUAUAUCUGACGUUGAGGCACGAAAGCGUGGGGAGCAAACAGGAUUAGAUACCCUGGUAGUCCACGCAGUAAACGAUGAUAACUCGUUGUCGGCGAUACACAGUCGGUGACUAAGCGAAAGCGAUAAGUUAUCCACCUGGGGAGUACGUUCGCAAGAAUGAAACUCAA
rnacentral:rRNA from 1 species